GAUGAAGAACGUAGCGAAAUGCGAUAAGUAAUGUGAAUUGCAGAAUUCAGUGAAUCAUCGAAUCUUUGAACGCACCUUGCACCCUUUGGUAUUCCGAAGGGUAUGCUCGUUUGAGUGUCAUUGUACUCUCACACUUCUAAUUCCUUUCGGGAUUGGGAGCGGUGGACUUGGGUGUUGCUGCUUUAGUUGUGGCUCACCUCAAAUAAGUUAGUGCAACUCUUGGUUGGACAUAGUACGGUGUGAUAAGUGUCUUCGCCGGCGCCUCUGUAAGGAGGGUGGCCGAUCGGGAGCUCUGUGCUUCAAACCGUCUUCGGACAAUCUUUGACAACUUGACCUCAAAUCGAGUAGGACUACCCGCUGAACUUAAGCAUAUCAAUAAGCGGAGGA
rnacentral:misc_RNA from 1 species